CAGUCGCCGCGGUAAUACGAGGGGGGCAAGCGUUGUUCGGAAUUAUUGGGCGUAAAGGGUGCGUAGGCGGCUUGACAAGUCUUGUGUGAAAUCUAUGGGCUCAACCCAUAGUCUGCACGGGAAACUGUCGGGCUUGAGAAUGGGAGAGGUGAGUGGAAUUUCCGGUGUAGCGGUGAAAUGCGUAGAUAUCGGAAGGAACACCUGUGGCGAAAGCGCCUCACUGGACCAUUUCUGACGCUGAUGCACGAAAGCUAGGGGAGCGAACAGGAUUAGAUACCCCCGUAGUCCCUGUCUCUUAUAC
rnacentral:rRNA from 1 species